rnacentral:rRNA from 1 species
AUUGAACGCUGGCGGCAGGCCUAACACAUGCAAGUCGAGCGGAUGAAGGGGGCUUGCUCCUGGAUUCAGCGGCGGACGGGUGAGUAAUGCCUAGGAAUCUGCCUGGUAGUGGGGGAUAACGUCCGGAAACGGGCGCUAAUACCGCAUACGUCCUGAGGGAGAAAGUGGGGGAUCUUCGGACCUCACGCUAUCAGAUGAGCCUAGGUCGGAUUGGCUAGUUGGUGGGGUAAAGGCCUACCAAGGCGACGAUCCGUAACUGGUCUGAGAGGAUGAUCAGUCACACUGGAACUGAGACACGGUCCAGACUCCUACGGGAGGCAGCAGUGGGGAAUAUUGGACAAUGGGCGAAAGCCUGAUCCAGCCAUGCCGCGUGUGUGAAGAAGGUCUUCGGAUUGUAAAGCACUUUAAGUUGGGAGGAAGGGCAGUAAGUUAAUACCUUGCUGUUUUGACGUUACCAACAGAAUAAGCACCGGCUAACUUCGUG